rnacentral:rRNA from 1 species
UACGUUGGGUGCGAGCGUUGUCCGGAAUUAUUGGGCGUAAAGAGCUUGUAGGCGGUUUGUCGCGUCUGCCGUGAAAAUUCGAGGCUCAACCUCGAACUUGCGGUGGGUACGGGCAGACUAGGGUGUGGUAGGGGAGACUGGAAUUCCUGGUGUAGCGAUGAAAUGCGCAGAUAUCAGGAGGAACACCGAUGGCGAAGGCAGGUCUCUGGGCCACUACUGACGCUGAGAAGCGAAAGCAUGGGGAGCGAACAGG